GCCUGGGUGGCUCAGUAGGUUGAGCAUCCAACUUCAGCUUGGGUCAUGAUCUCAUAGUUUGUGGGUUCAAGCCCUGCAUUGGGCU
rnacentral:tRNA from 1 species